AACUUAAUCUAAUUUUUUUCUAACAGAAGUAGGAAACAGCAAGUCAAGCAGGACUCUUCCAAUAAAGAUGAUACGCCAUUUUCUGGAUCCUACGACAACAGAGCGUUUGAAGACGAGAACGUUUACGAAAAUAUUUCCGACCUGGAUUUAGUAAGACGGCUCGCGGAAUUAAGAGACAAGGAAAAUUGGCUCCUACAGCUUUUAAUGAAAGCUAAAGAAGUUGAAUCAACAACGCCCACGAAGGAAACGAGCAAGAUAUCAUGGUCAACGUACUAUGGUUUAAAUCUUGUUCUAGCUACAUUGGAAGACAGGCAAGACACAGUUAUGAAAGAACCACAAAGAAAGCUUACAUGCAAGCUAGUUGUAUGGGCCGAAAACUUACUAAGGCUCGUGCAAAGCACAAAACUUCAGAAUGGUAACAAUAACUCAACAAUUGAUAUAGAUCUCAAACCAGAAAUUUCCAAACCUUUUCUGGAGAAUUUGCAUCUGGAGUCAAAACAGCAACAAGGUCAACUGGAAACAACUGAACUUUAAUAAAAACUUGUCCAUGUUCUUUGAAUAUCGUGAAAUGUUUUGUACAGAGAAUCUUCAUAUAACAAAUUUUAAAACUGCUAAGUAACCAGUGAUUAUUGGAAAUUUGGUUCCCUUCCUUUAAGUGCUUUUGUUUAGUAAUUAUUCAUAAAGAUCACACACACAAAUUGAUAUAUAAAAAAACAGAUUUAGAGAGAUGUCGCAAAUCUGUUUGGCUUGUCUUACAACAAUGUUUGCGCUAUAAAAAGCAGACGAACCUGACACAGUCAUUGUUUAUACUGAUUUUCCUGUUAUCGCAAACCAAGCGUCCUCUUAAUUAUUAAAUCAUCACCGUAUCGCAAACUGUAUACUUCUGUAAAGAACUCGGUGUUUUCCUAGUUAUCUAUAAGUAGGGUUUACAAGCUUUUGCUCAUAAAGUCUUUAGCAGUAUGUAAACAUCUCUGUGAUUGUUCAUCAUCACGGCAUAAGAGUCCUGUCGUUCAAUUAACCCACAAGACAGGUUGGACAAUCCUUUGCCACUAAACUUUCACGUGGUUUAUACAAUGAUUGCUUACUGUCAAAUUAGUGUACUCCCUCAGUGCCUUACUUUAUGAAUGUCCACUAAUGGUUAGUGUGAAUUUAGACUUAAGUGAUGAUAAUGGCAUUUAUAGUCUAGAAACCAGCAGUUUCCCAUUUGUGCAUGGAGGCCUAAUAUUAACACCAGGAUUUUCAUUUGUAAAUGUAAAGUAUCUUCAGAAAUUAUUAUUUAUUCGAAAAAAAAAAAUA